rnacentral:miRNA from 1 species
UUCAGUGGCUUAGUGGCAA